ACCUCUGCAAUAGGCGAAAGCUUGACAGAGUUACUCUGAGUGAUGCCCGCUAAGGGCAUCUUUUGGCACCUCUAAAAAUGGUGCAGAAUAAGGGGUGGGCAAGUCUGGUGUCAGCCGCCGCGGUAAUACCAGCACCCCGAGUGGUCGGGACGAUUAUUGGGCCUAAAGCAUCCGUAGCUUGUUCUGCAAGUCCUCCGUUAAAUCCACCUGCUCAACAGAUGGGCUGCGGAGGAUACUACAGAGCUAGGAGGCAGGAGAGGCAAGCGGUACUCAGUGGGUAGGGGUAAAAUCCGUUGAUCCAUUGAAGACCACCAGUGGCGAAGGCGGCUUGCCAGAAUGCGCUCGACGGUGAGGGAUGAAAGCUGGGGGAGCAAACCGGAUUAGAUACCCGGGUAGUCCCAGCCGUAAACGAUGCAGACUCGGUGAUGGGUUGGCUUCGUGCUAACCCAGUGCCGCAGGGAAGCCGUUAAGUCUGCCGCCUGGGUGGUACGGUCGCAAGACUGAAACUUAA
rnacentral:rRNA from 1 species